CCCCGUGUUUUCUGGUGUUGCGGCCAAUUUCGCGGCUGUUAACCGCUGGGUCGUAGGUUCGAGUCCUACUCCGGGAGCCA
rnacentral:tRNA from 1 species